rnacentral:miRNA from 1 species
UGCUGGGAGUCUUACUACACAU